CUCCCUUUCAAACCACUACGAUGCAACAUCAUCUCUCUCACUUUGGUCCAUCCUCUGUACAGAAGAUUCAUGGGAUAUUUUUAUGUUCCUCCCAUGCUCUCAUUUUCAGUUUUGUCCAGCCACACGUGCACAGGGCUGUAGCUGGUUGGCUGUGCAGGUAUUUUGUUCUACAUCUUGCCUCGUGACCAUUUGUGGUCCAUCUGCUUUAGCUCUUUUCCCUUGUUAAAUGCCAAGUUCCUGUUUCUUGCUUCUUCUGACAAAGCAAAGCAAAACCCAAUAUUUCUGAUGUGGCUUCCUUAACAAUACAUAAUAGAGGCACAGAGAAUAAAUUAACAUUCUGUAAGAAAUUAAGAUUUUUACAGUUAACCAAGGCUGAACGUGAGGAGUGGAUUGUAUGAUGCGACUUACUUAAUUUUGGCUUGCUUCUUUUAUGAAUUUAGCCUUUGGAUUAUAAACCGUGAUUUAUGGUUUGGCACAAGAGUAAGAAACUGGUGGCCAGGAAUCAUAUUUAACAUUUGGGGGGAAAGCUGAGAGCUGCAAUAAGCAGAUUGAUAAUACUCAGGGAAUACUUGAUGGAUGAAGACAUGAUUUCCCAUUUUUCCUGAUUUUAGGGGAGUUGGGGGUAUUAUUUUUAACAAAAGAUUAGGAAAAAUUAAGGCUACUUUAUAAAAUUUACACUGUAAUGUUUAUGUAUUCCCUACCUUAAAAUAGAUAGCAUGCUCCCAUUCUGGGAUCUCAGUAGGGAGGCUCAGGAGAAUACAUAGAUUUCCUACCAAUGAUUUUACAUACUAUGCAGACUCAGCCAGUUCUGCUUCAUCCGGUGGCUAUGUUAACCUGUAAACCCAGUUUAAAAUGCAAAAUCUCCAGCGAACAAAUUUAAGACUAUAGCAUUGCCCAUAUUGCAUGAGCUCUGAGAAAAUUUGGGGAGGGAGUGCUCACUUGGCCUUGGCAAGAUGUUCUGAACUAAAAUAACACUGUCAGAACCGCUUGUUGUAGGAAGAGGCUUCUGACACACAUUCUCAGCAGUCUGGUUGCUGUUGUUUCUAUAGCAGGGAUCAUUGUCACCCUGGGUCCAAUAUCAUUUUAUAUCUGCCUAGUCUGCUAGUUUCUAUGCAUUUGUAAGAAUUCUGCUUAUAUGUAAGUAUAAAUGUUUUCCCUGGUAAGCUGGAUGAUGGCUCUUUAGACUUAAUACAUGGAGGUACGAUAUUGGGUAAUGUGCACUAAAUCACAUGUAGGAGUUGCGACACAGUAAACCCAGCCUGUGUGUGUUCUACAUUGUAAACUUUGAGUAUUCAUAUCUUAUGUCCUAAAUGUAACAAGACUGAUCACAUUUAACAAUCCAAGGCAAAUAAAUAAUGCUUAAAUUCUACUUUUUCUUUCUUUUUAAAGUUGUCUAAAUGCUAUGACUAGAUAACAGGUAGUGGUACCUGUGAGCUUGAUGAGAAAAUGAGUUUUUUGUUUAAUAAGUGAAAUGCAUGUAAAAAAAAAGUGGAAGUAGAAAGCAAAAAUAAAAACUUAUUCUAUGAUUUUUUUGUCUCUCAAAAGGGGAAUAGGAAAUCAUCACCCAAGUUCAGGGAGAUGUCCACAGUUUGCAGAACUGAUAUUUCCAUGUGAAUAGUGGGGAUUCAAGAUUAAUGUUGUAAAUGCUUAUAUACAAAUCCUAGUGGAACUGUUGGCUACAAAUGUCCUCUUGAAAUUUUAAUAUACAUAUCCUUGUACUCACUGCAGUUGGCUAAAUCUGAGCUUCAGCAAGCCACAGCUAAGGGACAGAGCCCUGAAGCUGAAUUGGAAUGUAAGAUGUGAUGCAGCUGUUAGGGAUAUAAAUACUGAUACAAGUGAUUCAGCAAGAUCUUCUUGACUCUCCUGCAGAUCAACAUUCCAUCAGCAAGGUUUCAGAAGGAGUGUUUACCGACUCAAGGGACAUCCAAGGUCAUUGAACCAUAGGCCAAUCUGAGACAUCUGAGUCUUGAUAUUAAACCUAGAAGGAGAAUAUAUUUCAUCUCUAUCUAAAUGGGAAAGGAAUGUGCAAAAUAGGAAGAUGCAAAUGUUAAUGACACCUUAAGAAAAAGUAGAGUGGAACACAGAAACUAGAAAUAAAUGAAUCUGUGCUUUACUUUCUUAGCAGUAGAUCUCCCUUUUCAUCUUAUGUUAAUGAUCAAGACAAGCAGCCUUAUCAUGAGAAAAGUGUACCAGGAAUGAAUUUAAGGAAUGGAUUAUUCAAGCAUCUUACAGAACUGUGAGACAGAACAUGAAUAUGUCUGGAAAUGUAAAUGAAAAGAAAAAUUGAAAGGGGGGGGGGAAAUCAGCCAUUGAGUAUACGGCUUUUUUUCCCCCCGAGUUUCUCUAGCUUGAAAUCAUACACCGCCUAGGGUGAUUUUAAUCCAAGGAAGUCAGCUACCUCUUCCUCCACUACAUUUUAAAACUAAUUGUGCAAACACCAAGGCAACUCCUCUCCCUUCUCACUGUCUUACGACAUUUUGGAUAACCUCAAAGGUAAUUGUUUAAUCGUGCGCUUAGAAAUUUCCAGGGUAUAACAGUAUCUUCCUAUUCUUACUCAGCAACCUUACAGUACACUGUUCAUUUAGCCUUUUGUCACCCCAUUCCCUUUUAAUGGAAUUAUGCAUACUGAAUUUUAUUUUGCGUUUAAUCUGUGGAUGUAGUGAUUAAAUGGACAAGGGGAGGAGAGUUUAUUACAGUUCAGAGCAGGAGCAGGUAGGAAAUUAAAUGGUGAUAACUCUACUUGCUUUUGCAGUAAUGAUCUGUCAAAUGUCUGAAAUUCCAUUUUGAUGCACAAAUUUAUAACUUUAUAUAAAUUAUACUUUAUA